rnacentral:rRNA from 1 species
UACAGAGGUCUCAAGCGUUGUUCGGAUUCAUUGGGCGUAAAGGGUGCGUAGGCGGCGCGGUAAGUCGGGUGUGAAAUCUUGGAGCUUAACUCCGAAACUGCAUUCGAUACUGCCGUGCUUGAGGACUGGAGAGGAGACUGGAAUUUACGGUGUAGCGGUGAAAUGCGUAGAUAUCGUAAGGAAGACCAGUGGCGAAGGCGGGUCUCUGGACAGUUCCUGACGCUGAGGCACGAAGGCCCAGGGGGAGCAAACGGG